UCGUGGCCGAUUCCUCUGCCGGCUCGCUCGCUUGCUCUAUACCGCGCGCGUCCGCUUUGCCGAACCCGUCCAAGAGACACCUUUUUUUUUAUAUUCAAGUGAACUGACCUCAGAGAGACAUGUUCACUAUUGUAUAUAUAUAAAACACACCGGACUUGGUAAAAUUAUGGAAAUGAUGUUUAUCUUUGGCCAAGGAAAGGCAGCAGCCAGUUGUAGAGCAAAGACAGACGUUUUUGGCCAACAAUCGAGACUGUAGAACGAGAGGAUAAACCCAAACGCGGACACAUGAGGCGUCCAAUCGAGACGAGCG